AAAAACUAUGUUGAAUCGCACUCUUCUAGACACGAUCCGAGACGAUCCUAAUACCAGUGAUAAUACCAGUGAAGGUAAAAACAGUUGGAAGGUCUUCAGAGACAAACUCCGUCUUCGCCGUGCAGGAGCCGCCUGGAUUUCCAGCGUGCCGACACCUACCUCCGAUGUCAACAUUCCAACCUACAACAGACUUGUUUCCAGGCGCGGAUCAGGUCGUUAAAAUUGAGUCAUUAAGAUCGAUCGGAAAAGCAAGCCCAUCUCUCUUUUCUUCGCGUCUCUCUUCUCGGUCGGUCGGAGCUCUGCGCCAGUUAAAAGGAGAAGUGUGAUCGGAGAGUGAAAUCCACCACCCGACGACCUUUCCUUCCACAUCAUCCUCAAGUCGGUCAGUUCUUCUCAUUUCAUUUCUAAUAAUUAAUGGCUUAGACAAACCCUAAAUUCCAAAACUUUCUUACCAUGUUUGAUCAAUCAAUAUAUUCGAGUUAAUCAAUAAUCAUGUUUCUUUAAUUAGUUUAUCAAUGAAACUCUUUCUUGACGGAAAAUGGAUGAAGGUUCGCCCCAUUGCACCACAAAACAUUAUUUGGUUUAAGGGUUUUUUUUGGGGCAAGCUGAUAUUAUUUUUUGGAUAUGAUCGAGAUUUAUUUGGUAUAAGAAUUAGUUUCUGCAUCAAUAUCCCCAAAUUGUAGUAUAAUGUUCUGCUUCAAUUGAGAAUGUUUUGUUUCUGAUUUUUUACCAAAAUAACAAAUGUAUCUUUUUCAUAUUCAUAUCCUGUUGAUGCUGUUGAUGCGCUAAGAGAACCUAUGAGUGCACUGUUCAUAGUUGCAGUCUGAGUUUGAUGUACUAUCAGCCAAGCAAAAGGGCAACAAUGGAGGAAUAUACAUUUGCCACCCAGUAUGAAAUUACACAAAAAAAAAGUCCAAUUCAGAAUUAAAAGUAUCAAUACACUCCUCCACCACCAAAUCCUCCGCGUCUCUCUUCUCGGUCGGUCGGAGCUUUGCGCCAGUUAAGAGGAGAAGUGUGAUCGGAGAGUGAAAUCCACCACCCGACGACCGUUCCUUCCACAUCAUCCUCAGAGAACCUAUUAGUGCACUGUUCAUAGUUGCAGUCUGGGUUAAUGUACUAUCAGCCAAGCAAAAGGGCAACAAUGGAGGAAGAUACAUCUGCCACCCAGUAUGAAGAUUACACGAAAAAAGUCCAAUUCAGGUUCAUACCCCAAUUCAGAAUUAAAAGUAUCAAUACACUCUUCCACCACUGAAUCCUCCGCGUCUCUCUUCUCGGUCGGUCGGAGCUCUACGCCAGUUAAGAGGAGAAGUGUGAUCGGAGAGUGAAAUCCACCAACCGACGAUCGUUCCUUCCACAUCAUCCUCAGGUCGGUCAGUUCUUCUCAUCUCAUAUCAUUUCUAAUAAUUAAUGCUCAGACAAACCCUAAUUUCCCAAACUUUCUUACCCUGUUUGAUCAAUCAAUGUAUUCGAGUCAAUCAAUAAUCAUGUUUCUUUAAUUAGUUAAUCAAUGAAACUCUUUCUUGACGGAAAAUGGAUGAAGGUUCGCCCCAUUGUACCUCAAAACAUUAUUUGGUUUAAGGGUUUUUUUUGGGGCAAGCUGAUAUUAUUUUUUGGAUAUGAUCGAGAUUUUUCAUUUGGUAUAAGAAUUAGUUUCUGCA